rnacentral:rRNA from 1 species
CUACGGAGGGUGCAAGCGUUAUUCGGAAUCACUGGGCGUAAAGGACGCGUAGGCGGGUUGGCAAGUCAGGUGUGAAAUCCUACAGCUUAACUGUAGAACUGCAUUUGAAACUGCUAACCUAGAGUAUGGGAGGGGGAGAUGGAAUUAGUGGUGUAGGGGUAAAAUCCGUAGAUAUCACUAGGAAUACCGAAAGCGAAGGCGAUCUCCUGGAACAUAACUGACGCUAAGGCGUGAAAGCGUGGGGAGCAAACAGGAUUAGAUACCCUAGUAGUCC